GACGAACGCUGGCGGCGUGCUUAACACAUGCAAGUCGAACGGAAAGGCCCUGCUUUUGUGGGGUGCUCGAGUGGCGAACGGGUGAGUAACACGUGAGUAACCUGCCCUUGACUUUGGGAUAACUUCAGGAAACUGGGGCUAAUACCGGAUAGGAGCUCCUGCUGCAUGGUGGGGGUUGGAAAGUUUCGGCGGUUGGGGAUGGACUCGCGGCUUAUCAGCUUGUUGGUGGGGUAGUGGCUUACCAAGGCUUUGACGGGUAGCCGGCCUGGGAGGGUUACCGGCCACAUUGGGACUGAGGGACGGCCCAGAAUCCUACGGGAGGCAGCAGUGGGGAAUAUUGCACAAUGGGCGGAAGCCUGAUGAAGCAACGCCGCGUGCGGGAUGACGGCCUUCGGGUUGUAAACCGCUUUCGCCUGUGACGAAGCGUGAGUGACGGUAAUGGGUAAAGAAGCACCGGCUAACUACGUG
rnacentral:rRNA from 1 species